AAUCAAGCUCAAGGGUCACCAGAAGAAGAUUACAGGACUCGCAUUUUCCCAGUCGUUGAACGUGCUCAUCUCAUCAGGUGCCGAUGCACAGCUUUGUGCAUGGAGCAUCGAUGGAUGGGAGAAACGGAAGUCGAGAUUCAUCCCUGCACCGACCAGUCGAGCAGCGCCAUUAUCUGGGGAAACCCUCGUUCAGUUCCACAACGACCAGACACACA
rnacentral:misc_RNA from 1 species